GACCACGGCUCCAUUUCUGAGCCCCGCACUCACAACUGUGAACUCAACCCACGAAAUUGCGAUUGCAGACCAACUUCGUCCUUUCCAAGCCCCUUCCUCUCCCUCUGGGUCGGCCCCGCCGGCCGGGACCCUCGGAUCCUUCCUCUGCAGGGCCCUGCCUUCAGAAUGAAGGCAGAUGAGGGGCUUCCACCAACAAGCUGAGAGUACUGUGUGCCCCUAAAGGCUUCAUGCCGUCAGUGGGCUGGACGAGCGGCUCCGGGCAGCCCCCUCCUCCGCCCACUCCCCUCCCUGCCCCGGGCUCCCCCACCCCGGCCGAAACUGACAAGCCGGCUGAGGGUCCGACCCAAUCACACGCCUCUGGGGCGGCCCCGAGCCCGCCCCCGUCUCCCUCAGCCCAGGAAUGAGGACUCCGGGCAGGCCCAGCCCACCAGCCCACCCCCUGUCUCCCCACUCCUCUCCUCCCUCCUCGCCUACCCAAAUCCCCGAGAAGAAAUGGGAGGGAGUUACGCGGGACGCGUGCUUGGCUCCAGCGCUUUGGGAAUGAAAGGAAUUGCAGGAGAGCCCCGGAGCACCGGAGUUUUCAAGGCGCUUCUGUAUUCAAUAAAAACAGCUACUUGUCUACUUGCACCCGUCUGUUAGCCUCUCGCCGGUCGGCGGGAGAGGGGAGGAGUCCAGCGCCCGAUCAGCCACACCGCUGGAGUCCUGGGCUGGCCGCGGUAACCUUAUCCUUGUGCAAAAAUCUGCUUCGUAUGGCAGACGUGGAAGCAGUGGGCUCAUUGCGUUGCUGACUCCGAAAAGCGUUUUCUUUCUUUCUUUUUUUUUAACCCGAUAAUUAGAAGACAAGAACGAAGGUGGCAUGGAGGGACCCUAGAGGUCAAUACCCAGAGCUUGUAGGAAAGUCCUCUUUGGAGAUCUGAAACGGACAUGUUUCUCUCGUAAAUGUUUAAAUUCAGCGCUAGGUUCAUUCAGGGGCUUGCCUCUUAACAGAGUUGAACUGUACUCUGAGGGAGGAGGAGGAAGAAAUUUAUGGGAGCUGACAUUAAGAGGAACCAUUUAGUUGCUGAGUAGUUUGGCCACUACAGAACUUAGGGUCUUCCUGCUGGAAGGAGGUAACCUUGACUAAAAGUAUCUGAAGAUGUACCAUAAAAUACAAAAGCUGAGUAGCGGGCUCCAUAAACAGCCAAUGAAUUACUAUAUCACCCAUCACAAAGGAAG